AAUUGAUAAAAAAGUUAUUGAUUCCCAUAUGCCAUGAAAAAGAACUUAAAAUACAUUAAUACAAAUGUAGAAUGUGGUUAGAAAUUUUAAAGCAACACUAAAGAUUAGAGGCUUCAAUAUAUAAAUUACUUACCAAAAACUCAAUAUUUUCGUAGGGGUUAGCACAUAGAUUUUGAAAAAAUUUCAAAAAAUACGACAAUAUUGUUUUAAUGCAUAGUUGGAUCCUGCACUAACAUAUGAUGAUGUUCAAAGAGGUUUGGAGCCUUUCUCGUCUCCGCUUUUCUAGAAAAUAAUGAUUUUAUAGUGGUUAUUCCAUCGAUUUAGGGAGUAUUAUGAAGUUCUAAAAAGUUAAUUGAUAAAAAAGUUAUAACGAUUCCCAUUUACCAUGAAAAAAAUCUUAAAAUACAUUAAUGCAAAUGUAGAAUGUGGUUAGAAAUUUUAAAACAACACUAAGAUUAUAGGCUUCGGUAUAUAAGUCAUUUACCAAAAACUCAAUAUUUUCGUAGGGGUUGCACAAGGAUUUUGAGUAAAUUUCAAAAAAUAUGACAAUAUUGUUUUAGUGCAUAGUUGCAUUAUGCACUAACAUAUGAUGAUGUUCAAAGAGGUAUGGAGCCUUUUUGUCUCCGUUUUUCAAGAAAAUAGUGAUUUUAUAGUGGUUAUUCCAUCGAUUUAGGGAGUAUUAUGAAGUUUUACUAAAUUAAUUAAUAAAAACAAUUGAAGGAUGCUCAUUUACCAUGAAAAAGAGUUUAACAUACAUUAAUACAAAUGUAGAAUAUGGUUAGAAAUUUUAAAACAACACUAAAGAUUAUAGGCUUCAGUAUAUAUAAAGUAUUUACCAAAAACUCAAUAUUUUCGUAGGGAACACCUAGAUUUUGAGAAAAUUUCAAAAAAUACUACAAUAUUGUUUUAAUUACUAGUUGCAUCUUGCACGAACAUAUGAUGAUUUUCAAAGAGGUUUGGAGCCUUUGGUUGUCUCCGUUUUUCAAGAAAAUAGUGAUUUUAUAGGGGUUAUUCCAUCGAUUUAUGGAAUAUUAUGAAGUUUUUCUAAAUUAAUUGAUAAAAACAAUUGAAAGAUGCUCAUUUACCAUGAAAAAAAAGUUUAUCAUACAUUAAUACAAAUGUAGAAUAUGGUUAGAAGUUUUAAAACAACA